rnacentral:rRNA from 1 species
CGUGUAUUAUACGUUAGGAGGUUCUUCCCUCUGACAGAGCUUUACGACCCAAGAGCCUUCAUCACUCACGCGGUAUUGCUGCGUCAGGCUUUCGCCCAUUGCGCAAAAUUCCCCA